UUUAAAGGGACCAGUGCAAACAACAUCCAUUUUCAGCUCUACCUGCUGGAGGGGCUGACGAGGUGGAACGCAGACCGCAGCCGCGCGACCGUCCAGAGAGGUAGCCGAGGCCCACACCUCUGCUACAGCCCCCGGGAAAUGGAGCACGCCAACCAGCUCUCGGUGGAGCUAUUUGGGCAGCGUAUGUUGGACGCACACUCGGAUCCCUCGCGUCCGUACACAGGAGAGCUGAUUGGAGUGGCCUAUCUUUUCGCCCAGACUGGCCAGGUCCUGGAGGACAUCCCAGAAGACACGGAGGGACCUCAGGAUGAGCAGCAGGUGGAUGUGAUUGAGGAGGAAGGGCAGGACGUUGACGAGGGCUUUCAGGAUCUGAUGUUUUACCUGGAAGGCCUCCUGCAAAAUCCAAUUCUACAGUCGCCGGCGUCUAUGGCUCAGUCACAAACGGAGGAGGUGGGUAACAAUAAAUCCUUUAUCGGUGCCUCCAUCUGAUCAACGGGACUGAGGACGGUCUUCUCUUCUACAGGUUUAAGUGGGCGAUGAUGGCACUCCCGGCUACCAGCAUGUUGUCGGACUGGCUGAACGUCUGGUCCAGCUGCGCUUGCUCAACUGUGUUUCUCAGAGGCAGGCGGAGGAGAUAGUGCAGUUGUGGCAGAGGCUGCCUGAGCGGGACAAAGCACCACUCGUUUUUCCACCCAGGUUCAGGGACCAGUUGACGCAUGGUCGGUUUAAAAAACCAAAGUCCUCCCGUGCGCCGACAGAUUCACGGGCUGGGGUGGAGAGCUUGAGGAGGUGAGUGACACUAAACACACAGACACGUGUUUCUGCCCUGCAAACGCACCACAUUUACUUUUUUGUGUAUCUUUGGCAGAUGUCUCAGCAGUCAGGGGAGCGGACCAGCGCAGAGUCCAGGAGUCAGCCGCCUGGUGGAAACGAUCUGCAUUCUCCUGUGCAAGAUCUUUCCCCAGAACCGGACUAUAUCUGGUGUUCGAAUCAGCCGCUGGAGUGACAUUGUGCGUAACUACAGGUUCAUCAGGGAGAACGUGCUAAGUCACCCGAUGCUCUCCACAAAACUCCAGCUGUUUGA
rnacentral:lncRNA from 1 species